rnacentral:rRNA from 1 species
UACAGAGGUCUCAAGCGUUGUUCGGAUUCAUUGGGCGUAAAGGGUGCGUAGGCGGCGCGGUAAGUCGGGUGUGAAAUCUCGGAGCUUAACUCCGAAACUGCAUUCGAUACUGCCGUGCUUGAGGACUGGAGAGGAGACUGGAAUUCCCGGUGUAGUGGUGAAAUGCGUAGAUAUCGGGAGGAACACCAGUGGCGAAGGCGACUUCCUGGCCUGUUCUUGACGCUGAGGCGCGAAAGCUAAGGGGAGCAAACGGGG